rnacentral:rRNA from 1 species
UACGUAGGUGGCAAGCGUUGUCCGGAUUCACUGGGCGUAAAGCGCGCGCAGGCGGUCUUCUACGUCUGGGGUGAAAACCCGGGGGCUCAACCCCCGGGACUGCCUUGGAUACGGGGGAGACUUGAGGAUCGGAGAGGCAAGGGGAAUUCCACGUGUAGCGGUGAAAUGCGUAGAGAUGUGGAGGAACACCUGUGGCGAAGGCGCCUUGCUGGCCGAUUUCUGACGCUGAGGCGCGAAAGCGUGGGGAGCAAACAGG